CCUACGGGUGGCUGCAGUGGGGAAUAUUGCACAAUGGGCGCAAGCCUGAUGCAGCCAUGCCGCGUGUGUGAAGAAGGCCUUCGGGUUGUAAAGCACUUUCAGCGGGGAGGAAGGCGGUGAGGUUAAUAACCUCAUCGAUUGACGUUACCCGCAGAAGAAGCACCGGCUAACUCCGUGCCAGCAGCCGCGGUAAUACGGAGGGUGCAAGCGUUAAUCGGAAUUACUGGGCGUAAAGCGCACGCAGGCGGUCUGUCAAGUCGGAUGUGAAAUCCCCGGGCUCAACCUGGGAACUGCAUUCGAAACUGGCAGGCUAGAGUCUUGUAGAGGGGGGUAGAAUUCCAGGUGUAGCGGUGAAAUGCGUAGAGAUCUGGAGGAACACCGGUGGCGAAGGCGGCCCCCUGGACAAAGACUGACGCUCAGGUGCGAAAGUGUGGGGAGCAAACAGGAUUAGAUACCCGGGUAGUC
rnacentral:rRNA from 1 species